rnacentral:lncRNA from 1 species
GCAGAAGAGAGAGGUGGACGGGAGGGAGGAAGGUGGACAGGAGUUAAGGAGGGGAGAAAGGCUCUGCCUAUCACUUUUUCCUUUCACUCCGUAAGGAACAUCAUCUAUUUCCACUACUCCAUACCAUGUGCUCUGCUCUGUGCUAAGGACACGCUCAGGCUUCGCACGCAUUUCAGACUAUGGAGGCUCCUGUCUAGCUAGUGAGAGAGGCAGUCACUAGCCAAAUCAGCAUCACCUAAAUGCAGGCGUAACGAUUACCACAGACUCCAUCAAGGAAACAGCCAAGAUUUUUAGAAAAAGGAUAAUAUGGAGGGAACUGAUUUUCAGGAGCAGAUUUGUGAAACCCAACCCUUCUGAACGUCCUGGUCAGAAGCUGUCUGACCUCUGAACCAAAAUCCUGUCCCUGCUUCCCUCCUGCCACCUUGACAGACCUUGCGUCACCUGCAGAAAACAUCCGUGUGCUCCACCCUUUGAAUUCAGAACGACAUAGUGGAUACUCCGUGGGGCUGCUGGAAUCUUCCAUUCCCACUGCCUUAUCUUAACCCAUAGAUUCGGCAAGGGAAAUGCAACUUUGAAUUUUCUGGCAUUUUCACAACAUUGAAGAAAAGAACAUAAAUAUAGUUGGGGGGAGGGGCGCGGAGAGAUAAGAUGAGCAUUUUUGUGCCCAGGUCUUUGGAACUUGAAGAGUUAACCCCCCAGUCCAGGGGAACAGGUGUUUUCCAGUGGGCCUGGGGGAGAGGGAAGGGGGCUCCCGGUCCCGGAGCCUUGCCUGCGGAGAUUGAUGGACUGCGGAGGAGCGGGCACGUCAGCAUCACCCCUGUCACCAUCAGCAGGAGAAGCGGCGGCUCCUGGAAUGACAUUGGAAGGUUUCUAGAUAUUGCUGUGAAUACGGUCCUCCGCUGUACAGUUGAAAACAAAGGCUGCUGGACCUCGCCUGACCUGCGGUUGCCUUUGCCCGGUUCCUGUUAGACGAACUCUACGACGCCGGAGUUUGGGCGCAGUGAACUUGAGAGAUCGUGGGGGAGGCGUCUUCAGAAGAAAGCCCCUGACCAUCUGCAUGGAGCAGUCCUCCCUCGGUGGCGGCUGGGUUUGCUGGCUCUGCUGAAGGCUGGCUGCAAGAGUCUUGUGAGGUUUGCCGCCCACUAGUGUCCUAUGGCGGGGACACAAUCGGCCUGCAGGUAGCACCACCUCCCUAUCUCCCAGGCUGAGGGUGCGGGCACCAAGGCCCAGCGUGCACUUCAGCGCAGCAGCCAAGAAAAUGCCCACACGCGCUUGUUUGUGUGGGCACACCCCUGGGUGCCUGCCCUGCUCUGGAGAGGUGGGCCACGCAUGGAAACCGAGGAAAUCGAAGUGCUCAUUUCCGAAAUACUAUUGAAUGCACUGCCUAAUGCAAAAUACAUUCUUUUUCACUACCUAUUAAUUAUUUAUGAGCCACAUUCAUAAUCUUACCCGUAGAAUUCAGCUAAUUUUACGAAACCUGGAUGCCACAUUUUGUAAAUGCAUCCACUUGAUAAACCCAUCCUUUUAUUUUGCAAACAUAAAUUUCCAAUCUACAGUGUUCACAGGUCUUUCUUUAUAAAAUGACCUCUCUCUCUCCCUCUCUCAAUCAAGUUUUAAUACGCAUUGAAUUGAGUCUCUUGUCGAAAUACUCCGUGCACCUUACUCCAGACACAUCUAACAUAAAAUACCUUGCCAGCUACCCGGAGGUCCAGGAAUUGGGGAUUAGAAUUGGCAAAUAUUUUAGUCAAAAUUAGUUCCCCUACCAGAAUGCUGUAUUGCGCUGGUUCUGCCCCCCGUGACUCACUGAUCCCCCGAGGCAGCAAACCGUGGUCACACCAAAAUGACAAAGGAGAGAGUCAAAAAGUGGAGAACGAUCCACUGGCAUUUAUUGAAGGUCUGCGUGGCAUUUUGUUUUCCUACAGAGGGCAUCUUGGAGGGGCAUGCAGCUUAAGUUAAAAGGCCUCGGAAUUUAGGUGAACCCUGAGAUUAUGGAUAGCUUUUUAAUCUGUUUAAUAAAGAUGGGGGAGAAAGGGAAGUGGAGGCAGCCCUGAAAUUGUUCACCUGAUAACAUUUCUUCCUUACAUACAUUUAUGUGAAUUAAAUAAAAAUCACCUUUGAAGUCCUUAAGGUGCAUUUGUAUUUA